AUUACUCCUACGGGAGGCAGCAGUAAGGAAUAUUGGUCAAUGGGCGCAAGCCUGAACCAGCCAUGCCGCGUGAAGGAUGACGGCCCUAUGGGUUGUAAACUUCUUUUGUACGGGAAAAAACCUCUGGUCGAGAAUCAGAGCUGAUGGUACCGUAAGAAUAAGCAUCGGCUAACUCCGUGCCAGCAGCCGCGGUAAUAAU
rnacentral:rRNA from 1 species